rnacentral:rRNA from 1 species
AGCAGCCGCGGUAAUUCCAGCUCCAAUAGCGUAUAUUAAAGUUGUUGCAGUUAAAAAGCUCGUAGUUGAAUUUCGGGGUUAGUAGGUUGGUCAUGCCUCUGGUAUGCACUGGCCUCACUGAUUCCUCCUUCCUGAUGAGCCGUAAUGCCAUUAAUUUGGUGUUGCGGGGAAUUUGGACUGUUACUUUGAAAAAUUAGAGUGUUUAAGGCAAGCUAACGCUUGAAUACAUUAGCAUGGAAUAAUGAAAUAGGACGUUCGAUCCUAUUUUGUUGGUUUCUAGGAUUGACGUAAUGAUUAAUAGGGAUAGUUGGGGGCAUUAGUAUUCAAUUGUCAGAGGUGAAAUUCUUGGAUUUAUUGAAGACUAAACUACUG